rnacentral:rRNA from 1 species
UACGUAGGGGGCAAGCGUUGUCCGGAUUUAUUGGGCGUAAAGAGCGUGUAGGCGGCCAAGCAGGUCAGCUGUGAAAACUCGAGGCUCAACCUCGAGACGUCGGUUGAAACCGCUUGGCUAGAGUCCGGAAGAGGAGAGUGGAAUUCCCGGUGUAGCGGUGAAAUGCGCAGAUAUCAGGAGGAACACCGGUGGGCGAAGGCGGGUCUCUGGGCAACAACUGACGC